CAAAGGUGCUGCUUAAUGAAACUGUCUGUCAACCCUCUGAUAUUUAUUUGCAGAUGAAAAUUUAGAUCCCUGGUUCUGAUUUG